UUGAACGCUGGCGGCAUGCCUUACACAUGCAAGUCGCACGGUAACGGGCCUUCGGGUGCCGACGAGUGGCGAACGGGUGAGUAAUACAUCGGAACGUGCCCGAUCGUGGGGGAUAACGAGGCGAAAGCUUUGCUAAUGCCGCAUACGAUCUACGGAUGAAAGCAGGGGACCGCAAGGCCUUGCGCGGACGGAGCGGCCGAUGGCAGAUUAGGUAGUUGGUGGGAUAAAAGCUUACCAAGCCGACGAUCUGUAGCUGGUCUGAGAGGAUGAUCAGCCACACUGGGACUGAGACACGGCCCAGACUCCUACGGGAGGCAGCAGUGGGGAAUUUUGGACAAUGGGCGCAAGCCUGAUCCAGCCAUGCCGCGUGCAGGAUGAAGGCCUUCGGGUUGUAAACUGCUUUUGUACGGAACGAAAAGCCUUCUUUUAAUACAGGAGGGUCAUGACGGUACCGUAAGAAUAAGCACCGGCUAACUACGUG
rnacentral:rRNA from 1 species